UGGGGUGAGGAAUUCUACACUAUCACACCUGCACCACUACAUCAUCAAUAACAAGCAAAUCAUAUUUCUUCUUUUAAAACAAAAGUACAAUAAAAAUAUUUUUUUAUAAUUAUGACGGGACAUAUAUCUCUAAAAGAAAAUUUUUUCUUAGUUUGUUGCCAACGUCACCAAUAUACCCGUUGCAUUCUAGAAUUUUUUUCCUGUGGGGUCCAGAGAAACAGCCAAGUCCAUUUUUGUCCCUAGAAUCUCCUUUUUUGGGUUGUCCUCAUCGUUCAAAAUUUAUACUUUUGACAUUUUGUGAUCCUUCGUACAAAAUUUAUACUUUUUGACAUUUUGUGAGCACGAUAGUGAAAUAACAUUCGAAACGCUAAAAUACGCCACAGGGGCGAGAGAGAGGAGAUGAGGAGCUCUGGAGCUCACCGGGAAUGGCGGGGGCGGCGGCGACGACCUCGGGGAGGUCGAAGUUGACCCCAACCCUAACGCCGGGGACCCUGUUCAUGAUCAUGGCGAGGCAGGCGCCGGAGCUCCCGCCGACGUCGACGAGGGUCUCAACGCCGGCGAAGCCGUCGUAGGCCCCCGCGAGGAGCGCCUCCAUGAAGGGCUCGGAGACCCCGGCCAUGGCCCUCUGCAUGAGGGCGUUGGCGUCGUCGUCCCCGCCGUAGUAGGCGUAGGCCGGGACCCCGCCGUUGGCGCGCGCGAAGGGCUCGGGCCCCGCGGGGUCGAGCACGGCCUCGUGGAGCCGCGGCCACGCGCGGAUCAGAGCGUCCUGGUGGUGCUGGAGCACGUAGUCGGCGUAGGAGGGGCCACCGACGCCCGCGGACGAGACUAGGGUUCGCCCGAUCCGGGUGAGGGAGUAGCGGCGCAGGGGGGAGGACGAAGGCGAAGACGAAGAGGAAGGGGAUGAGUAGUGCUCGCGGAAGACGCCGUGGGAGGAGAGGAGGCGGAGGAGGCGUUGGAGGAGGGAGGGAUCGGAGGGGUGGGGAGGGGGACCGGGGGAGCGGAGGAGGGGGAGGAUCUCGGCGGCGGAGAGGGGUGCGUUGGCGCCCGAGGCCCAAAUGGCGUCGGGGACGCGGAGGAGGACGACGGCGUGGAGCGCCAUGGGGACGGAGAUCAUGUUCGCGAGCUCCAUCAUCGCCAGCCGCGCCGCCGCCGGAGAAUCCUCCGGCGACGAGGGCUUCGGGGUACGCCAUGGGUAAUGUGAGGAGAGGAGCGGUAGGGUUAGGGUUAGGGUUUUUGUGGUGAGCUCGUUUGGUGAACUGGGGAUAGUGGGGAGGCGGAGGAGGAGGUAAUGGGAUUGGGCGUGGGUGUGGGGGGUAUUUGCGGUUGUGGAGAGUGAGAGGUUAUAGCACGGUACCCGGCCUUUUCUAUUCAACUAGUCGGCUAACACUAUUCAAUUUUAUAUCCACCGUCCCCAACGUAGUAGGUAGCAUAUUAUCUUAUCUCUUUAAAACAAAAAGCUCUUUCGAUUGAUCAGUUACGAAAUAUCUUUAUAUCCUAAUUAGGUUAGGUUUGGUAUUGAAAUCUAUCUAACAUUGUUAGAUAAAAUAGAGUUAGAAAAAAAAUAUAUAGAAAUAUAUUUCUGCGUUUUUCGGUGGGACGACAGAAAAUAUAUCAUAACCGACUCAUCACAAUAUGCGGAACACAAUAUUACAUAUGAAAAUAAACAGAGUAUUUUUUUAUCAUACUUUCUCACCGCACGUAACGCUAUCUUCAAGUAAUCCCAAACCCUUAAACGUCUACCACAUACAGAUACAAUUUACAAAUCUUUAAAACACUAAUCAACAAUUUUAGACAUAAAAGUUUUGAAUUGUUGAAUAAGAUGUCAAACAAGUUCUAAUCCUGAGUUGGGCCGGAUUGGGCCUCCAAAUAGGGCCCAGAACCCAGGUCUAUCUUACUGGACCAAUCUCAAACUCGCAAAAAUGAAAGAUCCACUCUUUUGAUUCUUACCAAUCAGGAUCCAACUAGUAAAAUUCAUGUUUUUUUUUUUUUUUUUAUAAAUUAGUGAGAUUAUUAUUAUUAUUAUUAUUAUUAUUAUUGAGAGAGAUAAGUAGCACGCUAUCCACUUCAUUUAUUUUAUUUAGAAAAUAAACUUAGCUGAAAAUGUGAAUCAACUAGAUUCAAACUUGGGUCUCAGAUAUCAAUCACCAAAUCCUUUGUCGCUUGCUCUAGGUCACUUGCUCUAGGGACCGUCCCGCUAGUAAAAUUCAUGUUGAAGAGAGAUUUUGAACUAACUAAUGGUAGAGAGAAGAAAAGCACUCAAAUUCUCCACCAACAUCCAGCAAUUAAUCCACUUGUUUCUUACACGAGCCAAUGCUUGUGUGCUACAUUACAUUGUCAUCCAAAAGAGAGGAGCAACUACACACAACAAGAGAAAACAACAAUCUAAGAGUCUCCUACGUAUAUUUACCAACCCAGUGUGCUACAACAACUCACAGAAAAACACAGCAACAGGAUCCAGUCGAUCGGUCGCUACUACUGUACAAACCGAAGCAAAAUCGCCAGAUCCUCUUCCACUCCCUAAUAAGUUGAAAACAAAAACAAGAACAAAAAGGCUAAGCUCAGUUGAACCAGGGAGGAGGGGGGGGGGCUCAGCUGCUCUGGCUGGCCAUGUAGUUGGUGACGGCCUUGGUGCCCUCGGAGACGGCGUGGCGGCCGAGCUCGCCGGGGAGGACGAGGCGCACGGCGUUCUGGAUCUCGCGAGAGGUGAGCGUCGCCCGCCCAGUGUAUUUGGACAAUCGUGCAGCCUCCUCCGCCAGGCGCUGGAACAUGUCGGCCAUCAUCAUGUCCAGCACCUGCAUCGCCCGCGCCGACGCCCCCAGCUCCGGGUGCACCUGCUUCAGCACCCGGAACACGUACCUCUUGUACCCGCCCACGCCUCCGCUCCCCGCGUCCCCCGCACUCCCGAACCUCCUCUUCCUCCUCCUCCUCCUCCUCCCUUUUCCUUCUUCCGCUUCUCCUUCGCUCCUCCCUCCUCGAUCCUUUUCCUUCUUCUUAUUGGCGGGCGGUAUCUCCGACUUCUCCGUCGGCGUUUCCGGCCCUCGCUCUUUCAGAGGCCGUCCUCGUCCUCUCCUUUUCGACUCUUCUCCGGUCUCUUUCGGUGCUUGGUUCUCGUCCACCUCCAUUGCUUCCUUUCUCUUCUCAGGCUCAUCUCUACCGUCAUUCGCCUCCGGCACUUCGCCAUCACCCUUCUCACCGCCGACUACGACAACUUGCACAACCUUGGAGUCCUUGAGAGGUACUGCUGCUUCUUCUACUUCUUCGGCACCGUCUCCAUCUCCGUCUCCGUCUCCGACACCGACCACAGGAGCGACCUUCACAGUCUCCUCCACCACCUUCGCCGUCGUCUUCACCACAGCUCCCACCAUCUUCCUCGGCUUCCUCGGCGCCAUUCUCCUCGCACUCUCCUUGUUUCUUAUUUAUUAUUAUUAGUAUUAUUUUCUUCUUUGAUUAAGGAGGCAAUAUAGAGCCGCGAUUGAGGAACAGAGUGGGACAAUGAAACAGGGGAAGGGNGGAAAUAUGUAGGCGGGGGAAGUGGGGUGGGGUUUAACGCUCGACACUUGGCGGUGAGCGUGUCGUACGCUUGGGAGGGUAUGGGUGACGUGGACGGCGAUCGUAGCUUCUCAAGAGUUCGCGGCUCGGGAUCAGGAGAGUUGAUGAUCGGACGGCUGGGAAUGAGGGGAGCGUGGACUCCAGUGGACGCUCUAGAGACUCCAGUAACACUCCCCAGUGAAACGUCGAGAGACAUUCGGAAUUUAAAAAGAUUAAUUCGCCUUAAUUUCUAUUGAUUUUGGAACUAAAAAUAGAAAAAAAAAAAGAAGAAAAAGAACCAAACGUUAUGACAAUCGAACCGAAUAAAUUGAUAAGACGUCGAAUAUAUUAUGAUCUUGAUUAAAAAAUAAAAUUACAACAAAAUAAGCCCGGACAGAAUAAAUUGAUUUUAGCUUUUACAAAAAAAAAAAAAACUCUUGACUCCGAUUAAAUAUUAUCUAUUUAUGCAGUAAGAGUGCUAUACUUUCAAAAGUUAGAAAAUCAAUUUAAUUGCUCUUGUUUCUGAAAGAAACAUUGUCAUUUCAAAUUAAAAAACUCAGCUUAAUGAGUGUUAUAAUGAUUUUUAAGAAAUAAAGAAUUACUACUAUACAGGGCAAUAUUUGAUUGCAAUGCAAUAAAAGCCAUUUUAACAUUUUCCCGAGUUUUUCACUCUUUAAGAUAUGCACAAGGUUUACAUAUUUAACAAUUAUUGCAAACAAAGGGCGAAAAGUAAAAAAAUAAAAAAAACAAUCUACACCCACUAGGAAACUCACGUAUUGGCAUAUAAUAUACUCCUAUUUAUGGACCUAUUAUUACAUAUUAUCUUAAGACAAACAUACGUACCAACUCACUACUCCAAUUUAUCUAUCUCUUUCUCCCAUUUAAGACCAAACAUUUGGCGCCCAAAAGGCACAAUGAGAUUGUAACGAAGAACCUGCGCAAAGUUUUAUCCCAAAUUAAACAUGUUUAGAAGUUCAAUAUCUUAUUAUCUCGGAGCCCACAAGAUAGUAAAUCACUUGCAAAGCAUCUCACCUUGUCAUUUAUUUCGCGCAUCUGCGCCUUGAGAGCUUCAGAGUCCUCGCGCCAUUUGGAUCCCUCAUUGUAUGACCUCCUCGCCCAAGCUCCCUUCAAGGCCGACCUCCACUCCGCGAUCUUGCCACGGAUUUCUUUGUUCAGUUCAACCCAUUCGGGGGCACAGCCAUUUCUGGAGAGUAUUCUGUAUAAGGUGUCUUCUGCAGGGUCCGCAUGAGGGUUCGUGCUGAGAUCGAGAGGCUUCCCCUUCCCGGGUAGCUUCUCAAAGUGGCCUUCUUCCAUGGCGUGCCAUAUUCUCUGUUCCACUACAUUGACUAUGUCGGUCUCCGACCUGCCGUAAGCAGAGGGGAACACUUCAGCUUCGAAUAGUAUAAAAGCAAAAUGGAGUCAAAUUUUGUAAGAAUCACUGAUUCCACACACACAUUGAACAUUUUGUCAGGUUAUCGUUACUCUGCUGUGCAUUCUACAUAUAAUACUAUAAAUGGCGAUAACAAAUCCUUUGACCAGUUAGCACAUUUUUGUAUUAGGUUCCCUAACAAACCAAGUAUACCACAUUUUCUGCAGUUAAAUCCUAGCAUGUUAGUUUGUUCUUCUACACAUUUUUUCAACAUAUAACUCAUUAAUUUCACUGUUUCAGUAGUGCAGUCACCAGUUCCAAGAAGGAUUUGAGCAACUUAGAUCGUACGUUUCCAAUUAACGACACAUCCAAACUUUACAAAUCAAUUCUUAGUGCAGCAUCUUAAUUCAGUCCCUCUGCCCAUAAUAUCACAUCCUUUGAUGCCAGGUCUCAAAUCUAGACGAAGAGUUUAAUCAACUUAAAACUUCAAAAACUAGUAAUAUACAGAUAUAUACUUGCCGGUAUUCUUCAUUGAGAAUGGCAUUGUUUUACCAAAGAAUUAAUAUUUUCAGAUUCGUAUGUAGUUUAGAUAGGUUGAAUGAGAUCAAGAAUCCGAGAAAAAUGAAUAACCAGAUAUUAUAAGUUUAGAAAGCAAGGGAAGAAACAAAAUCUAUAAAGCAAACCAGAACUAGUCAAUUAGGUUCAUCCGAACAUAGUCGAUGUUUCCAUAUGUAACAGGUUUUCUAGCAGUCCACUCAGCAUACUGUUCUCUGGCCGCUACGAAGCAACUUAAACUGGCGAGAGAUUACAUAGCAAAACACUACUUAUCGCAUAAUUGGAGAUAAGCAUACCAUACUACUAAAGAAACUAGCAACAAACUGUUGAGCUUAGCAUCUAAGGAGCCACAGUAGUCGAUUAAUAUAAUGCUAGUAUCAAACAUCUGCUUCCUCUCAUAUCCAUCUUUCUAAGGGCAAUUUAUUCGAUCAAUGUACAUGUUUAAAUGGUUUUCGAGCUUAAAUGAAUCAAAAUAAACAAAAAUUCCAAAAAAAUGAAGCUGUAAAAAAGGCCUUUAACCAGGAUUUCUCCAUCUACAGAUAAUAAUUAUUUUAAUCACAAACUUUUUUCUUUGUAAUUAUUAUCAAACUCUUCCUCUCAAGUCUUAGUUUUGGAAGCAACAAGGAACUACUUUUUCUAAGCGGUUUUCCUAUGGGCAAGCAUUAAUUCCAGUAUAAAUUGUACGAUUUCUCUAUCAAUUCGAAUCCGAACAAUACUCAGCUAUCCUAUACCUAAAUGUCUACGUCAAAACAAUGAAACCAGGUCAAAAGCGCAUCAACAGCGAGAGGGAGAGACCUGAUGGCGUUGGAUCGGCCGCGGAGCUCGGGAGGGAGCUUGCGAUCGUUGACGGCGUCGAUGACGGCGGAGAGGCGGUGGCUUAGCUUCUUCGGAUGCGAUUGUCGAGAGGACGCGGCGGAGGAGGCGGCGGAGGAGUCCGGAUCGGCGUCGAAACACGAGGACGACGAGGAGGAGGAGAAGGACCAGAGGGAGCGGAGACCAGAUCGGAGGAGGAAGGGGAGGAGGGCUCCGGCGAGGCUCCGGCGCCGCGGUGGGGCGGCGAUCGCCGCCGCAGCCGCCAUGGGAGAGGGGAGGAAGGUCGGGGGAGAAGAGAGCGAGGAGGAGUGAGUCGGGAUUUGGACUCGCCCCACGCCACGAACCGUUAUUUAUUUUAUUUUAAUUUAAUUCUUAUAGUGUGGCCACUACGCGGGCUUCCUGGGUCUCUCUAGGCCGUUCGUGAGGACCCCAAAUACAUCGUACGAACGAUUUUUUCAAACAUAACAACGAAAUACCAAUCAUUCCUAAGGCGAGUGACAAAAAACUUAAUAUUUAAUAUUUAAUAUUUAGUUAUUUUAUAUUUUUAAUUAAUUUUAUUUAAAGAAAUAAACUAAAUCGAUAGCAUAUAAUCUUUCUCUAAAAAUAAAAAAAAUACCAACUUACACUUUAUAUCUUUUCAAACUUCACUAAAUUUCAACAACAACUCCGCCACCGAGUUAGUUUGAAAGUAUUUCACAGCUCAAUACCUCAUUGCCCUCGAAGCAAAUCACAAGAACAACACAACAACUCCGAACAACACAACAACUCCAACUUAGUCUUGUCUAAGAAUUUAUGACUUACGACCGCAGCACUGAUCCAAAAUUUAAGCAUUCGGGGCGAAUCAGAUAGAUUGAUUCUGCAAAGAUCAAAUAUCUGAAGCGAUCACAACCAGCGGUAAAAUUAAAUAGUUCAAUCGGUAAUCACAAUAUUAGACUCUUCAAAGAUAAAAUCCAAA
rnacentral:lncRNA from 1 species